rnacentral:rRNA from 1 species
UACGGGGGGGGCAAGCGUUGUUCGGAAUUACUGGGCGUAAAGCGCACGCAGGUGGCUGAGUCAGUCGAUUGUGAAAGCCCUGGGCUUAACCUGGGAAUUGCAGUCGAUACUACUCGGCUUGAGUAUGGGAGAGGGCAGUGGAAUUCUCGGUGUAGCGGUGAAAUGCGUAGAUAUCGAGAGGAACAUCAGUGGCGAAGGCGGCUGCCUGGCCCAAUACUGACACUCAGGUGCGACAGCGUGGGGAGCAAACAGG